GACGAACGCUGGCGGCGUGCUUAACACAUGCAAGUCGAACGGAAAGGCCCUGCUUUGGUGGGGUGCUCGAGUUGCGAACGGGUGAGUAACACUUGAGUAACCUGCCCUUGACUUUGGGAUAACUUCAUGAAACUGGGGCUAAUACCGGAUAGGAGCUCCUGCUGCAUGGUGGGGGUUGGAAAGUUUCGGCGGUUGGGGGUGGACUCGCGGCUUAUCAGCUUGUUGGUGGGGUAGUGGCUUACCAAGGCUUUGACGGGUAGCCGGCCUGAGAGGGUGACCGGCCAGAUUGGGACUGAGAUACGGACGAGACUCCUACGGGAGGGAGGAGUGGGGAAUAUUGCACAAUGGGCGGGAGCCAGCUGCAGCCACGAAGCGUGCGGGAUGAAGGAAUUCGGGUUGUAAACCGAUUUCGCCUGUGACGAAGCGUGAGGGAAGGUAAUGGGUAAAGAAGCACCGGCUAACUAGGU
rnacentral:rRNA from 1 species